ensembl:lncRNA
GGGAAGUAAGCCUUUGUUUUUAAUUUUAAAGGCAGAAGUUUAAAAAAGACAGGAAGAUUGUAAAAUGUGUUAAUUUAAAUGUUUUCAUUUAACAAUUUUAUGUUUAUUUAUAUAUUUCGAUUUUAUUUUGUAUUUAUUCUAGUGUACACACUGUCUGUAGUUACUAAAGUAUUUAAGAAAACAAUAAAAAAGGAAAUUGGAUGUAAUUUAAAUGAUACUGCUUUUAUAUGAAUAUAAAGAAAAGAAGUGUAAAGUGGUGCACGUCAUGAAAACAUGUUUCCAUUAGGGGGCGUCCAUGCACAAUCCAAGAAAUAGUGCAGCUUUUCUGUUUAAAUGGUCUGAAUGAAAGUUAAGUUUCUCUGCAUACUUUCCAUUCUCUCAGUACACUUCAUUACACACUGUUGGUUUAGGUGCAGAAAGAAGCAAAAUAAUUUGCUUUUAGCAUUUGAAGCACCAUACCUUUAAAAUGCUUUUUUUGCUGAAUAAGGUUGAACCCGUUCAAACUUUUGCUCGUGUACAUAUGUGCAAUCUCACGUUCCCACCUCCUUCCUCCCCCCGUGUACUAUGUACGCUCCCCCUCCCUCUUGCCGACUCUAACUCUCCAUUCUCUCUUUUUCUCCUGCACAUGUAACCACAGGAGCGCACGGAGCAGGCACGCAUACACACCAACCCCAUAGAACCAUGUCAGACUCAGAGACUGCAGCUCCUGCCGAGACCCCUGUCCCAGCACCCUGUGUGGCCAUCAAGGCAGAUUUAGACAAAUGUAUAAAGGAGAGUGGUGAGGAAGCGUGUAAGGAGCUAAUGGAGGCGUUUGCUGCCUGUGUGAAGAGCAAUGCUGAGGCGUCAUGAGGAGCUCAACAUGCAGGAAAAGGGUUUACUGCACUGAGUCCUCCACCUUCCCAGCAUUCCCUGCAGCUCAUGGCACUGGACCAAAUGAUGGGGUUUGGGGCAGCAGAGACUAUAUUUGUGUCUCUUCCCUUCUCUACCCCCCUGUGAACCUCAAAUGGAUUUCUCCAACCACCAUCCUCCCCUCCCCGUUUGUGGCUGAUUGUAUUGAUCUGUAGAGUUUGAGUGUUGAUGUAAAUGAUGCAUCUCAGAUGCUUUCAAAAUGGAAUAAAGAUUUUAAAAAUGGUUCA